AGGUGCGUUCUUGUCGCCAUAGUCGCCGUCGAUUCAAAACUAGGAAGGAAAGAAUCGAAGAGAGUCAAUUUGCGCGCUUUGGUAUCGACGUCGGCACGGUACUGUAGGUGUUGGUAAGAAGUGGCCGCGUGCAGACAGAGGAUAUCGACUCGAGCGGCAAUGAGUGAAAGCGCUUUUGUGACCUGCGGCUGCUUUCAGCGGAAUGGAAUGCGUGACGCUGCUCCGCGCGACGUACGCCUUUCUGAGUGAGACAGUGACCGUGGUGGUGUUGGUCGACUGUCGACGUGUGGGACGUACUGCAUACUGAAGAAGAAGCGACACACCAAGCUCUUUCGUGAUCAAGUGGUGCGUCGAACCGAAACUCACUACUUGUGUUCGUGCCACUCGCGUCUGUGUUUAAGUUCCUCUGUCGCGUCCUUCUGUGUAGGAAGGUGCCGGCAAAAGAACCUGUGAGAAAUUGCUGGAACCCCCCAUCGGGCAGAAUGCUUCGUCGUUCAAUGUGGAGUGCCUUUGAUGAGUAGGGAACCUGGAACACGGGGAACACGCCUGUUCCUAUCUCACCAUCUUUCUUAAACAUCUGGAUAAUACGAGGUCGAAGUAGCUGAAGAUGACUACAACCCAAUCUGCAAGGGCUUCAGAGACUGCGAAUCCCAAGUGAAAUCAGCUGUUGUUUGUCAAGGACCGGAAGAAUUCGCAACAAUGGGGACCCGCAGUGAUUUACCAGUUUGGUCAAGAGCUUUCAGCAGCACAGAGUGGCCCGCAGCGCCCCCUGGGAGUGCCGAUGAAGACAAGGCCCCUUCGUCACCACCUACAACUCAGCGCCAGAAAAAGCUGGAG